rnacentral:rRNA from 1 species
UAGGGAAUCUUCGGCAAUGGACGAAAGUCUGACCGAGCAACGCCGCGUGAGUGAAGAAGGUUUUCGGAUCGUAAAACUCUGUUGUUAGAGAAGAACAAGGACGUUAGUAACUGAACGUCCCCUGACGGUAUCUAACCAGAAAGCCACGGCUAACUACGUGCCAGCAGCCGCGGUAAUACGUAGGUGGCAAGCGUUGUCCGGAUUUAUUGGGCGCAAAGCGAGCGCAGGCGGUUUCUUAAGUCUGAUGUGAAAGCCCCCGGCUCAACCGGGGAGGGUCAUUGGAAACUGGGAGACUUGAGUGCAGAAGAGGAGAGUGGAAUUCCAUGUGUAGCGGUGAAAUGCGUAGAUAUAUGGAGGAACACCAGUGGCGAAGGCGGCUCUCUGGUCUGUAACUGACGCUGAGGCUCGAAAGCGUGGGGAGCAAACAGG